UUGCACGCUGGCGGCAGGCCUAACACAUGCAAGUCGAACGGUAACAGGGAUCAGCUUGCUGAUUCGCUGACGAGUGGCGGACGGGUGAGUAAUGUCUGGGAAACUGCCUGAUGGAGGGGGAUAACUACUGGAAACGGUAGCUAAUACCGCAUAACGUCGCAAGACCAAAGAGGGGGACCUUCGGGCCUCUUGCCAUCGGAUGUGCCCAGAUGGGAUUAGCUAGUAGGUGGGGUAACGGCUCACCUAGGCGACGAUCCCUAGCUGGUCUGAGAGGAUGACCAGCCACACUGGAACUGAGACACGGUCCAGACUCCUACGGGAGGCAGCAGUGGGGAAUAUUGCACAAUGGGCGCAAGCCUGAUGCAGCCAUGCCGCGUGUAUGAAGAAGGCCUUCGGGUUGUAAAGUACUUUCAGCGGGGAGGAAGGGAGUAAAGUUAAUACCUUUGCUCAUUGACGUUACCCGCAGAAGAAGCACCGGCUAACUCCGUG
rnacentral:rRNA from 1 species